AGACUCGAAUGUGUGGGUGUGAGCCUGAACCUGAAAGCUUAGUGGUCAUUUCUAAGAAGGGCUAGUAAUUAAGACAAUGUUCUUGACCCUGCGGGGAUGAAAAAGAUCCGCGCAAUCCAGUCCCUGCUGUCAGGAAGUCUGUAAUCUACAUCUGGAUGAAGUGGAAACAGACGAGGAUGACAUAGUUGUACAGGAGUACAAGAGCCAAGAGCUGGAGGUCAUUCCAGGCCCUGUGAUUGAGCUCCCACCACUGGAAAUGUGAGCGGAAGUGAUGAGGCUGCUAAGAGUGGGCAAGCAUUCUCCAGACCUCCCCUUUCACCUCCUCAGCCCUGGAAGCAGACACUUCUGAGAUGGCAGAGUAGACAAACAGAAGCAGCUGGGACCCCUGAGUCACUGUUGGGGAAGAGUUACCAAGGUGAGCUGCCUGACUCACGUGAGACUGUGUGGCAUGAGAGGCAAAUAAGUGGGUCAAGCACCUGAGAUUUCAGGACUGAUUUGCCAAGGAGAGCUUGAUGACAUCCUGACAUAAAAUAAAGAGCAAAGGCAAGAUAUUAGGGAAGACUUCAUAGGAGAAGCGACGUUUAUACAAAGCAUGAAAACUGGGUAAGAUUUCCACAUGCAUGGUGGGCAAGGACAGUUCAGGCAGAAGCCAGAGGAGGUAGACAGGGCAGGGCAGGAAGUAGUUCAAGUGCAAGAAGGAAGGGUUCCUGUGCUGGGAGAUCAGGUUCGAAAGGUUGGUUGUGCUAUUUGAGGAAGGCCUCGCAUUCUUCCCAGAAGUGUGAGCUUUAUUCCAGAGGGAACAGACAGCAACUGGACAUUGCGAGCCAUGAUGCGUCACAACCGGAAGAGUGCAAAGGAAAGUUUGGGCAGGGGUGACACCGGAGUGGAGCCGGGGGUGAGACCAGUUUGGAGGUGACGACAACUAUCAAUAGUCCAGCCUGGAAGGAAUGAAGGCCUAACCUAGAGCAAGGGUUAGAGCAACAUUUGGGAAACAGAAAUUGAUAGACUUGCUGGCUCCUAAUUAGAAGGUCUCACAAAGGGAGAAAGAAGUUGAAAAUGAUGCUGAGUCUCCCUUCUGCUGAUGCUGUUCCCAGAAAUAGGGAAGCAAGGACAAGUAGCAAGCCUAGGAGGGAACAUGACAAAAGUAGGUUGGGACAUGUUAAAGCAGGAGAAGGGAGAGAAGAGGGUGAUAGAUGCUGAGAAAGAGGUCGCAGAAAUGGGGAGAGAAGCAGGAGAGCACAACAUUCAGAAAUCCAAGGAGGAGAGAAUUAAAAGGAAGGAAAAGCGGACAAGAGUGUCACAGCCAGUGGAGAGGUCUCAGCCAAUGGACCAAGGACUGAGAAGGGACCGUUGACCGCUGCGUUGAGGAAGUUCUUCAGAAGGUCAUUUCACAAGGUGGCUGAUACAGAAGGCAAAUAAAGAUGAUGAUCGGUGAUGAAAGUGUCAUGAAUGAUAGGAACACGGGAAUUCAUGUUCAAGGCAGAAGCAGCUGGCUAGCCUGCUCCUUUAACUCAACAGGUAGUUUCGAGCUUCAACUAUUUGUUAGGCCUGGUAUCUGAAGAAUGUAAUGAUGAGCAAGAUGUGCUUGCUGCCUCAAGGAGCUUGUAAUCCGUGGGGCAGAGAACAGACCAGGCAGUUUCAGUACCAUCAGGUAAGUGCCAAGAUGGGCUGUACAAGGUGCUCUGAGUGUACGUACAGGGGCCUGUUCUGGUUUCUGGGAGUGAGGGAAGGCUUCCUGGAGGAAGUGCUUUGAAAAUCUGGUCUGUCAGGGUGUGAGCCAGGAAGUGUGGGGGUUGGUCAGCCAAUGACACAGACAGAGGGGAGCAGGCAGAGACAGCGUUUCAGGCCAUGGACAACAGGCGCAGAGGCCGGAAAAAGAGCAGCUGACGCUUUCCGGGAACUACACAUAGUCUGGUCCUGGCUGGAGCUCGGUGCUAGGAAAUGCAGAGGUGAGGAGGGGUGAGUUGUAAGCGUAGGGUCAGGAAGGACCAUUUAAAGAAAGGAGAGGAACAAGGGAAUAGCUUGAAGGUAAUGGAACUAGGCUGGAGUGUGGCUCACUGAACAAGAAGAGGCCAGGGGAAUGGGCAGGUUAAAGGAGAGCACAUCGUGGGGUUGUGGGGAGACGAAGGGCUGGGCAGGGGAGAGAGGCAGACAUGGGUUGGGGGGGGUGGGUCAAGGUGCAGUGUGGCAGCUGAGGACAGACUCUCGUCCUCCCUACAGGAGAGGAAAUAAACAGUUCCCUGGGGUUAAGAGGAUCCCUCCAGGGAUGGUGGAGGGUGGAUAAAAGGAGGAGUGUUGAAAUAGCAGCUGCAGGGUCUGUGACAGGGCGCCAACUAGGACGCAUUAAAGGCUUGCUGCAAAGUAGCAAGGCCCCAAU